GGCGGCGCAGCGCGGAGAGUUCGCGGCAGACGGCGCAGAAAGCCGGCUCCUUACCUUUGCGCUUGGACCUCCUCCUCCUCCUCCGCUUGGACUUGCAUUUCAGUUGACUGCUCAGCCCUCCGGACCCUCUGCUGGUCCCCAAGACCGAUGCCAUGGCUGGGACCCGCUGGGCUGAGAGCCGCGAUCUAAGCUCCAGUGCCAAAGUGCUCUAGGGCCGGAGGGACCGCGAAGGAAAGGAGAGGAACCUGAGGCCUGCGCCAGGAC